GAAAUGCGAUAAGUAGUGUGAAUUGCAGAAUUCAGUGAAUCAUCGAAUCUUUGAACGCACAUUGCGCCCUUUGGUAUUCCAAAGGGCAUGCCUGUUCGAGCGUCAUUUGUACCCUCAAGCUUUGCUUGGUGUUGGGCGUCUUGUCUCUAGCUUUGCUGGAGACUCGCCUUAAAGUAAUUGGCAGCCGGCCUACUGGUUUCGGAGCGCAGCACAAGUCGCACUCUCUAUCAGCAAAGGUCUAGCAUCCAUUAAGCCUUUUUUCAACUUUUGAUCUCGGAUCAGGUAGGGAUACCCGCUGAACUUAAGC
rnacentral:misc_RNA from 1 species